GACGAACGCUGGCGGCGUGCUUAACACAUGCAAGUCGAGCGGUAAGGCCCUUUCGGGGGUACACGAGCGGCGAACGGGUGAGUAACACGUGGGUGACCUGCCCUCAGCUCUGGGAUAAGCCUGGGAAACCGGGUCUAAUACUGGAUAUGACUCCAUGACGCAUGUUGUGGGGUGGAAAGCCUUGUGCGGCUGAGGAUGGGCCCGCGGCCUAUCAGCUUGUUGGUGGGGUGAUGGCCUACCAAGGCGACGACGGGUAGCCGGCCUGAGAGGGCGACCGGCCACACUGGGACUGAGACACGGCCCAGACUCCUACGGGAGGCAGCAGUGGGGAAUCUUGCGCAAUGGGCGAAAGCCUGACGCAGCGACGCCGCGUGAGGG
rnacentral:rRNA from 1 species